rnacentral:tRNA from 1 species
GUGUGCUUAGUUUAAUAAAAAUAUUGGUUUGUCUCGCCUAAGAUGACUUUGGUCAGCACACU